rnacentral:tRNA from 1 species
AGGCCCGUUGUCUAGCCUGGAAGGGCGCUGGGUUGCGAACCCAGUUUUCGAGGGUUCAAAUCCCCCCGGGCCUAC